AGUGAACGCUGGCGGCGUGCUUAACACAUGCAAGUCGAACGAGUAAGUGCUGUAGCAAUACAGAUUACUGCUAGUGGCAGACGGGUGAGUAAUACAUGGGAAUCUACCUCGAAGUCUGGGAUAACUGUUGGAAACGACAGCUAAUACCGGAUAUUGCCGAGAGGUGUAAAGUUUUUCGCUUCGAGAUGAGCCCAUGCAAGAUUAGCUAGUUGGUAGGGUAAUGGCCUACCAAGGCGAAGAUCUUUAGCUGGUCUAAGAGGAUGAUCAGCCACACUGGAACUGAGACACGGUCCAGACUCC
rnacentral:rRNA from 1 species